GCUGGUCCGUGCGCAAGGCUGAGGUCUGCCCGGCUCCUCUGGCGCCCAAACCAGGAGCGAGAGCGCGGGCCCGCGGCCGGACGCGGAGGCUGGGACCGGCAGGUUGCUGGGGCUGCGCUGCGCCUGCCCUCCACCCGGGGCCCCAGAGCGAGAGGCAGCCCCGCGCUCCCUCCCGGACCGCUGGAGACAGAUAUGCAAGAUGGCAGAGGAGGGGGAAAGCCAAUAGAAAAGGGAUAUUGCACCUACUUGUGGCCAGUUUCCUUGCCCUGCCUUUGGAUCUCAUGCUGUGCCCAGUCCUGCAGCCGCUGGAAAUUUUCUAUACCGUCCAUACCAAGAAGGCGGGGCUGGGGAGGACUUUUUAAAUCUUUCCCGUACUAAACAACUAGAAGGACUGGACUCUCGACGAACGAUCCAGGAGAAAGUGAGAUUCAUCCUGAACUCCGGGAAAUCUGAUGCUGCCGCUGCUACUGCUACCGGAGCUAUUGCGGCUUCUGCUUUCAGAGUUGAAAGCAGAAUAAAUGUUUCUUUCUCGAUUUUAGGUCCAGGCAAGCUCGGGCAUUUGAUAUCCAAGACCUCCUGCCUUCCCUGAGGUCGGCUGUCACCUUCCGGCCUCCCCCACCGCUGCCCCCCGUCGCCUCCCGCUGCAGCUCAGCCUGCCUGCCAUUUUCACUCAUUCGCUUAAACCCACAACCUCCGGGGUCGUAAGAAGAAGGAGGUGGGGAAAUCCAUCCCCCACCCUUGAAAAUUACAUUGUUGAAAUUUGCUUUUAUUACAGGAUUUACCAAGGAAGUGUGGAGCAGAAGUGUUCAAGGUAGACUCAAUUCCAACUACGUAUAGAUUUUCUCUUGGUACAAUCUCCUUGCAUUAAAGAGUUUUGUCCAAUA